AUCAACCCCAGCAGAAACUCCAUCUCACUCACCGACGAGGUCAACUAUAGCGUGCACGUCCACCCGGUAAGAAUCAACCACAGCAGUAACUCCAGUUCACUCACCAAUGAGGUCAACUCUAGUGUGCAUGCCACUAGGCGUGGGACAUUUUACAAUUUUCUGGAAACGAUUACAAACUUAUUUGCGCAACACAUAGACUAUACACGCCUUUGACCCGUUACUAUGGCGGUCAUCUCUGAAAGAUGCUUAACUUUUUUUUUUUUCUAAAUGUUAAAAAAUAUGCUGGCAAGUACUUGUUUACUCAAGUAAGCGCCCCCACCCGUAAUGGUUACCCUGUUAGAGUCUGUUCAGAUGGACAGCAGAAUGCUGAAUAGAGAAGAGAUGGCUUUUUAUUACUCCUAUUGAGCAGACUUCAAUAGGAGCCUGGAGCCUCGUAAUUUAGCUAUUGCUAAACAUCAAGCUUGCAUCUCCGGAGAACAUUUUGCCAGAUGUGUUUUUUCAUCACCUCCAUGGGUUUGAAAAAUAAGCUUGGUCUGUUUAUUGUACAAAGCAUUUAUAAAUCAGCCUUGGUAUGGAGUUACUCUACAUUCAAACAAACCAUAUUGUGGGAUCAUUUUAUAAUUCCUUAUUUUCAGGAGCAUGGAGUUAAUGUCAAAUUCCAGU